GCCAGACCUACGCUCUCCGGAGCCGCGCGGACCCAGAACCGCUCCCACCACGCAGCGAUGGGGAGGUCGCGGCCUCGCCCGGAAAUUCUAUGAAUUAUUCAAGGCUCUGAGCAGUUCCUGCUUCUCCCACACCUUCUCUGAUUGGCCAAGCAGUGACCUCUCCCUUCCCUGAAUUCGGACGAAACCCACGGCUGGUACCACCAGUCGGCUCUGAUACAUAUUCUUUAUAUUAUUUAUCUUCUGAGUAUGUGAUUUGUCUUCCCAAUGAGAUUUUAAACUACCUGAGGCGGGGACCUUGUCUUUUGCUUCUUGUGUACUUUACUGCACAGCUAGUAAAAUGAAUUAAUUAACUCAGUAUGUAUUUUGUGUGUCCCCUCUCUGCACCAGACAGUGGUUUGGGUGCUGAGGAUACGGCAGGGAGCAAAACAGACACGUCUGUGCCCUCACGGCACUUAACAUUCCAUGGGGUCAGGCUAAGGGAUAGUAAACAAAA
rnacentral:lncRNA from 1 species